rnacentral:rRNA from 1 species
UACGAAGGGUGCAAGCGUUACUCGGAAUUACUGGGCGUAAAGCGCACGUAGGCGGAUUGUUAAGUCAGGGGUGAAAUCCCGGAGCUCAACUCCGGAACUGCCUUUGAUACUGGCAAUCUAGAGUCCGGAAGAGGUGAGUGGAACUCCUAGUGUAGAGGUGGAAUUCGUAGAUAUUAGGAAGAACACCAGUGGCGAAGGCGGCUCACUGGUCCGGUACUGACGCUGAGGUGCGAAAGCGUGGGGAGCAAACAGG